GGAGGGUGCAAGCGUUAAUCGGAAUUACUGGGCGUAAAGCGCGCGUAGGUGGUCUGUUAAGUCGGAUGUGAAAGCCCCGGGCUCAACCUGGGAACUGCAUCCGAUACUGGCAAACUAGAGUGCGGGAGAGGGAGGUAGAAUUCCACGUGUAGCGGUGAAAUGCGUAGAUAUGUGGAGGAAUACCAGUGGCGAAGGCGGCCUCCUGGCUCGACACUGACACUGAGGUGCGAAAGCGUGGGGAGCAAACAGGAUUAGAUACCCUGCUAGUCCACGCCGUAAACGAUGUCUACU
rnacentral:rRNA from 1 species